GUGAAAGUCUGUCCAGCAUGAAUCACAUGAUACACGUGUCGGUUUUUUCAAUGUUAAUUCCUAUUUUUGAAGCGUCAAACAAACAGUAUAUAAGCACUGAUCUUACUGCUGUUUAGCACCUUCUCACUGGACGGCUGAAGCUAUCGAGAUAUUAAAGAUCACCAUGAGGCUGCUGACCGUGUUUGUGUUUCUUUGUGUAAUGGUCCCUCUGAUCAUUACUGCUCAAAAAUCGGGCAGCAGUGGGGCAGAGAAUAAUCCACAAGAAGAGCAAGCUGUUGACAAGAGGAUCCUGUGGUAUUGGCGCAAAACUUAUCGUUGCGUUAGAUGGCGAUGGGUAUGGAGAAAGCGAUGGGGGAAAGACGUGAACGAAUAAUAUAUAUACGCUCACCACUGAUACCGAUUUUGUCUGGGUCUGAAAAAGAAGAUGAUUCCUGGUCUUUCAUGAAAAUGGUCCAUCAGACAGAGAAGCAAAUACUUUCAUCCAACUCCCUGAACUAUCAGUUUCCCCUUUUACAUCUUUACUUAUUUUCUUUUGCUGUAUUGCUGCAUAAAGAAUGAAGCAACAAGUGACACAAACUGGAGUCGACCGGACUGUCUCUUUUAAUAACAAAAACUAUUCAUUUCUGUUCUUAUUAUCUUCAUCAUUAAACUCUUAAGCAUUAAAUGAAAUUGGUCUCUGAGUCUGUCACAUGUCACCUUUUUAUUGGUCUAAACCCAAACACCAAAUUUGUUUUUCAUCUAUCUUCGUUUUAAAAUACCUAAAUAGAAAAUAACAAGUCUGACCUGCUAAUAUCUGACUGAGCUCAAAGCAUUUACUAAGAUCCUAAACAAUAACCUGAAUAAAGUAUUAAUAUUAAGUUGGUCUAAUGAUAAUUUCCAGAAUUGAUCUCAGCUACUGUUUGAUAUGCGAGUAAACAAAGCAGAUGAUAAAAGAAAAAGGACUCAUAAAAUACCUUUUCAAAAGGACACAUUUUAUUUUUGUCUUCAUUGAUACAAAUACAUUGUUGUCAUAUUUGACAACAAUAAGGAGAACAGUGGUUUUCCUCCCAACUUUUGACCAAUCAACUUAGUUUCCUGUUUAUCACACAUAAUAAAAAGCAUUUACUGCUGAGGCACAGCAGCCUUUGUCUCUGAGCCAGAGAGAAAGAGCUCCAUGGAGUUGUGUAAAAUAAUC
ensembl:lncRNA